rnacentral:lncRNA from 1 species
GCGCCGUUGCCGGGGAGAAAGACAGUUUGCUGAGAUAACUUUGAGUCUUGCUAUUAUCUUGUAUUAUACUUUUAUACUUUUAUUCUUUUAUCUUUUUAUUUUUAUCUUUAUGGAUAACUCAAAUUCCAUACCUAUUAUUAAAUUCUUUGCACCUUCGGAGACCAACCAUAGACCAUGGGAGUCAACACGUCCUGCCCCUAAUUAUGAUCUG